AUGGAGGAUAUCCCAGAGCCACUGCUUGCAGAGAUCGUCAAGAGGAUUACCAAGACAAGUGAUCUUAAUUCUCUUUCCCUCGUGUCGAAGCAGCUCUGCACCGUUGAGGCGGAGCACAGGGAUGCUAUCCACGUUGGCUGUGGACUCAACCCUUCUGCAGAAGCCUUGGUAUCGCUGUUCUCCCGGUUCCCCAAUUUGGUGAAAGUUGAGAUCAAUUACUCUGGGUGGAAGACUAGUAACCGGGAUCAGUUGAACAACCAAGGCCUCCUUGUUCUAUCAUCACACUGCCCCUCGCUAUCUGAUCUUGCUUUAAGCUUAUGCUCAUACAUCGAUGACGCUGGUCUUGGUUAUCUAGCUGAGUGCAAAAAUUUGAAGUCCCUCAGGCUGGACCGUGCACCAGCAGUCACUUCUACUGGGAUUUUUCAAGUGGCGGUUGGUUGCAGGUAUCUUUCGGUUCUCCACCUUGUUGACUGUACGGCAGUAGACAACGGGGAGUGGCUGGAGUACCUUGGGAGGUAUGGAGCACUGGGGGAACUUGUUGUAAAGGAAUGCGAUGGAAUCAGCCAGUAUGACCUCUUAAAGUUUGGCCCAGGGUGGACGAGUCUCCAAAAGUUUGAGUUUGAGAUUAAUGGAAAUUACUGGAUGCCAGGGGCCUCUGACCCCUCCUACGUGUCUGGCUACCCAUAUAGUUAUGACAUCUGCUGUGAUGGCUUGAAGGAUCUUAGGCUGGCUCAUAUUAUAACCGAGCCAGAAACUGGGCUUCGUUUUCCUCCUGGCGAAGUGCAAAGCAUUGGAGACACUUUACCUGGACUAUGUUAUUGGUCUAAAAGAGAAUGA
rnacentral:rRNA from 1 species